rnacentral:rRNA from 1 species
ACGAACGUUGGCGGCGUGGAUUAGGCAUGCAAGUCGAACGAAUCCCAUCUGGGUAACUGGGUGGGGGAAGUGGCGAAAGGGGCAGUAAGGCGUGGGUAACCUACCCCGGGGACCGGGAUAGCCAUCCUAACGGGUGGGUAAUACCGGGCGAGGUAACGAGAGGGCAUCCCCUGGUUACGAAAUGAACUUCGCCUCGGGAGGGGCUCACGUGGUAUUAGCUUGUUGGCGGGGUGACGGCCCACCAAGGCGUAGAUGCCUAGCAGGUGUGAGAGCACGACCUGCGCCACUGGCACUGAGACACUGGCCAGACUCUGACGGGAGGCUGCAGUCGAGGAUCUUCGGCAAUGGGCGCAAGGCUGACCGAGCGACGCCGCGUGCGCGAUGAAGGCCUUCGGGUUGUAAAGCGCUGUCGAGGGGGAGGAAGCCCGCAAGGGUUGACCUAACCCUGGAGGAAGCACGGGCUAAGUUCGU